GGUUCCGUGGGGUAGUGGUUAUCACGUUCGCUUUACACGCGAAAGGUUUCUGGUUCGAUCUCAGACGGAGCCA
rnacentral:tRNA from 1 species